rnacentral:rRNA from 1 species
CAGCCGCCGCGGUAAUACGUAGGUGGCAAGCGUUGUCCGGAAUUAUUGGGCGUAAAGGGCUCGCAGGCGGACAGUUCAGUCGGGGGUGAAAGCCCGGGGCUCAACCUCGGAAUUGCCUUCGAUACUGGCUGUCUUGAGUAUGAGAGAGGUGUGUGGAACUCCGAGUGUAGAGGUGAAAUUCGUAGAUAUUCGGAAGAACACCAGUGGCGAAGGCGACACACUGGCUCAUUACUGACGCUGAGGCGCGAAAGCGUGGGGAGCAAACAGGAUUAGAUACCCGUGUAGUCCCUGUCUCUUAUAC